CACCAAGGUGGCCCAACUCACUGGUUCCUUUGCUCUGGCCUCAACAAACUAGCCAUGCUGUAAAGAAAGCUUUAAACACUCCAGCUGCUGGGUCAAGACUCAAGACUAAGUUUAUUCAGCAGAGACAGAAAAAAAAAUGGCUACAGGGAAUCAGAAGACAAUCAUCCUUAGACAGGUGUAUUCCUGGGAAAUCAACCUUACCAUUGAAGGUUUCAGAGGCCCUUGAAGGCCUCAGGAAAGGCAGAGUCAGAGGAAAAAAAUAUUAGCAGUGCAGUGCUGAAAUGAAAGAUACAAAGAUAUGAUACCCCUGUUUAAAUUGUUUCAGUGUACAAAGAACAAAGCUACCUAAAGAAAACCAACGUGUAG
rnacentral:lncRNA from 1 species